rnacentral:misc_RNA from 1 species
AAUUCAGGAGUAUGUGGAACAAUCUUAUAACAAAGAACAUCAGCUUUUCAAAUAUGUUGCUGAAAUAUGCAAAAGCAAGUCUGAGGGCGCAUAUGUUGGGUUUUCUGCGAUGCCCAUAGCCACAGCUUCUGGUAAAGAUACCUACUUGUACUUCAACAACCUGGAUUUUAACAAGUUUUAAGACUUUCCUUGCGGAAUCCUUGUACUGUUACUUCAAUAAUAAGGGUUUUUUUUAAUUUUUUUAAUAUUUUUUUUAUUGUAAAUGCUACUGCAACACGG